rnacentral:rRNA from 1 species
AGUGAACGCUGGCGGUAGGCCUAACACAUGCAAGUCGAACGGCAGCACAGUAAGAGCUUGCUCUUACGGGUGGCGAGUGGCGGACGGGUGAGGAAUACAUCGGAAUCUACUUUUUCGUGGGGGAUAACGUAGGGAAACUUACGCUAAUACCGCAUACGACCUACGGGUGAAAGCAGGGAAUCUUCGUACCUUGCGCGGUUGAAUGAGCCGAUGUCGGAUUAGCUAGUGGGCGGGGUAAAGGCCCACCAAGGCGACGAUCCGUAGCUGGUCUGAGAGGCAGAUCACACACACUGGAACUGGGGCACGGUCCAGCCCACUACGGCAGGGACCCGUCGGGAAUUUUGGCCAAUGGGCGCAAUCCUGAUCUAGGCAUACCGGGUGGGUGAAGAAGGCCUUCGGGUUGCAAAGCCCUUUUGUUGGGAAAGAAAAGCAGCAGGUUAAUACCCCGCUGUUCUGACGGUACCCAACGAAUAAGCACCGGCUAACUUCGUG